rnacentral:tRNA from 2 species
GGCCCCGUAGCUCAGGGGAUAGAGCAACGGUUUCCUAAACCGCAGGUCGGAGGUUCAAUUCCUCUCGGGGCCACCA